rnacentral:lncRNA from 1 species
AGCAGGCAGCCAGGCACGCACCAAUACCAAGCCUCUCCCGGGCCAGCUUCUAGCAUUGGCUCAUCACCAGCACUCCAGCAGGCAGGCAAAACGCAAGCAACACCUCUCCGCCAGACAUCAUGGCCGCUUCUGUCGAGCCGCGGCAGCAGUUCGGCCGCCUCGAGGCGGUGCGGGGAGCCGCCGCGAACGGCGCCAAGGCGUACCCUCCUCCGGCGAGCCACAUCCCUCGCCGCGCCGACUCUCCCGUGCGCGGCUGCGGCUUCCCUCCCCUCGUCUCGCCGCCGCGCACCAAGCCCGACGAGGCGUCGGACGACGAGGACGACGAGCAGGAGGACUGGCGCGAGCUCUACGGCUCCCACCUGCAGCUAGAGGUGGAGCCGGCGGUGCACGACUCGCGCGACGAGGGCACCGCGGACGCGUGGAUCGAGCGCAACCCGUCCCUCAUCCGGCUCACCGGCAAGCACCCGCUCAACUGCGAGCCGCCGCUGACGCGCCUGAUGCACCACGGCUUCAUCACCCCGGCGCCGCUCCACUACGUGCGCAACCACGGCGCCGUGCCGCGGGGCGACUGGGCGACGUGGACCGUCGAGGUGACGGGCCUCGUCAAGCGCCCCGCCCGGCUCACCAUGGAGGAGCUCGCCCGCGACUUCCCCGCCGUCGAGGUCCCCGUGACGCUCGCCUGCGCCGGCAACCGGCGCAAGGAGCAGAACAUGGUGCAGCAGACGGUGGGCUUCAACUGGGGCCCCGCGGGGGUGUCCACCUCCGUGUGGCGCGGCGCGCGCCUCCGCGACGUGCUCCGCCGGUGCGGCGUCAUGCCGCGCAAGGGCGGCGCGCUCAACGUCUGCUUCGAGGGCGCCGAGGACCUCCCCGGCGGCGGCGGGUCCAAGUACGGCACCAGCAUCACCCGGGAGUGGGCCCUGGACCCGUCCCGGGACAUCAUGCUCGCCUACAUGCAGAACGGCGAGCCGCUGCUGCCGGACCACGGCUUCCCGGUCCGCGUCAUCAUCCCCGGCUGCAUUGGUGGGCGCAUGGUCAAGUGGCUCAAGCGCAUCAUCGUCACCCCCGUCGAGUCCGACAACUACUACCAUUACAAGGACAACCGCGUCCUGCCGUCGCACGUCGACGCCGAGCUCGCCAAUGCUGAAGGUAAAAUCACGGAAGCAACACCAAUAAUCGUCAAAUUUCGAGCAUUUCUUCGCUAAAUUUCUGAGCAAAUGUGUGACUGUUAUUGCAAAUGCGCAGCGUGGUGGUACAAGCCGGAGUACAUCAUCAACGAGCUGAACAUAAACUCGGUCAUCACGACGCCGGGGCACGACGAGAUCCUGCCCAUCAACAGCAUCACCACGCAGCGGGGCUACACCAUGAAAGGAUACGCCUACUCCGGUGAGUUCUAUGCGGCCCCUGACUUUUCUUUCUUUUGACUAUGACUUUGCUUAGCUGUUACGAAUAUAUAUGAAACUUUGGCCCCGGAGUUUUCAUAUUCAUAUGGCGGUGCCGUGACACGGCUUACAUGACGCAGUGUGGUUUUUCAUCCAAGUUUCACCAGCAUAGACGCAAAGCAUAGAGAAAACCAGUUGUUGUUGUAUCCUUAUACAAUUUGAAAAACCUGUUCUUCCACCAUGCCCAACCAGUAUCUCCAUUGUUAUCUCAAAUAACCCUGUUUAACCUAAACAUAGCAAACAACUUAAGAGUGAUGCACACCUUAUUAAACUAGCUAACUUGUUUAUUGCCAUAUUCUUAGUCCAAGAAAAAAAUAAUCUGACUUAGGAAAUAUGACUAGUGCAGCCAUGAAGAGGCAUUCCUGAAGAAGACCUUUUCAUUCUAUUUUUCAGAAAGGGAACAUUUUUCACUAUAAAGAUCCUAAUACGUUGAACUGUCGAUAUCAUAACUAGCAGACCACAAAGUUUGAUUCUUUCACGAAGAAAGUUUAGGAGAAUAUGGAAUCUAACAAGGCAUACGUGACGUAACAAGAAACGCACUUUUAAUUUGGUAAAACACUGUACUUUUGACUGUUGAGGAAGUCUAGAUGACCAACAAGAGCACUAAGGGUACUCAACCAGCAAUUUGCAAACAUGGAGGACCCUUUCAUGAUUAUACUACCAGUCCCCUGGAACUAGCUUGGAAACCGGGUGCUGGAAACAAUGCACAAGUUGAUAGUUUGCUAUGCCCAACAUGUGCAUGCACUUUUCUGCUAGAGAAAGCGUGCACAGCCGUGUUGGCACUUCGUUGCAUCCAAAAGGUGCUCAGCUGAACACCACAAAAAAAAUGUUCCUUCUGCAAUGGUCAAAGAGGGCGCUGCUGAAUUUGUGUGGCAAGGGUGAGAAACGAACAAUAAGCUGUCACUGUGCCUCUGUUUUGUCGGUUACUGUGGGCUGUGGCAGCAAGGCAUGUAUAGGUUGCAACUGGUUCUCUCAAAAGAAAAAAAAUGUACAGUUUGCACCUGGGGGCGGCUGGGAAACAUUUGACAAGUCCACUUGUGGUCAAAAGGGGCUGCAGUCUAGGUGGCCAAUCAGAGCUAGAAUAAAGAUCCAUCUUCUAUCAGGACCUUUUUUUUUUUAACCUUUCCUGGCAGUCAAAGAAACUUACUAAUUUGGUAAAAAAAAGUGACUGAGGGUAGAAGUCGAGCUGAGCCUAACGACUUUUCUCUGUUUUGGCGCGUAGGCGGCGGCAAGAAGGUGACACGGGUGGAGGUGACGCUGGACGGCGGCGAGACAUGGCUGGUGUGCGACCUCGACCACCCAGAGAAGCCCAACAAGUACGGCAAAUACUGGUGCUGGUGCUUCUGGUCCGUCGAGGUCGAGGUCCUCGACCUCCUCGGCGCCAAGGAGAUCGCCGUCCGCGCCUGGGACCAGUCCCUCAACACCCAGCCCGAGAAGCUCAUCUGGAACCUCAUGGUACUUUGUCACUGGCAUCGUGCAGGAGCUCCAUUGAUUCAUGGCACUCUGUUUCUUGUGUGGAUUCUGAUGGUUCUCUGUUCGUUGGGCAGGGCAUGAUGAACAACUGCUGGUUCAAGGUGAAGGUGAACGUGUGCCGUCCGCAUAGGGGCGAGAUCGGUCUGGUGUUCGAGCACCCGACGCAGCCCGGCAACCAGACCGGCGGGUGGAUGGCGCGGCAGAAGCACCUGGAGACGGCGGAGGCCGCCGCUCCGGGGCUCAAGCGCAGCACGUCCACGCCCUUCCUCAACACCACCGACGGCAAGCAGAUCACCAUGUCCGAGGUGCGCAAGCACGCGUCGCAGGAGUCGGCGUGGAUCGUGGUGCACGGCCACGUCUACGACUGCACCAAGUUCCUCAAGGACCACCCGGGCGGCGCCGACAGCAUCCUCAUCAACGCCGGCACCGACUGCACGGAGGAGUUCGACGCCAUCCACUCCGACAAGGCCAAGGCGCUCCUCGACACCUACCGCAUCGGCGAGCUCAUCACCACCGGCACCGGCUACAACUCCGACAACUCCGUCCACGGCGGGUCCGUGCUCUCCCACCUCGCGCCCAUCCGCGAGGCCAUCAGGGCUCCCGCGCCCGUCGCUCUCUCCAACCCGCGCGAGAGGAUCCACUGCCGCCUCGUCAGCAAGAAGGAGCUCUCCCGCGACGUCCGCCUCUUCCGCUUCUCCCUCCCGUCGUCGGACCAGGUGCUCGGCCUCCCCAUCGGCAAGCACAUCUUCGUGUGCGCUACCAUCGAGGGGAAGCUCUGCAUGCGGGCGUACACGCCGACGAGCAUGGUCGACGAGAUCGGUCAUUUCGACCUCCUCGUGAAGAUCUACUUCAAGAACGAGCACCCCAAGUUCCCCAACGGCGGGCUCAUGACCCAGUACCUGGAGUCGCUGCCGAUCGGCGCAUACAUCGACGUGAAGGGACCUCUGGGCCACGUCGAGUACACCGGCCGCGGCAACUUCGUGAUCAACGGCAAGCAGCGCCACGCGAAGCGCCUCGCCAUGAUCGCCGGCGGGAGCGGGAUCACGCCCAUGUACCAGGUGAUCCAGGCGGUGCUGCGCGACCAGCCGGAGGACCAGACGGAGAUGCACCUCGUGUACGCCAACCGGACGGAGGAUGACAUCCUCCUCCGCGACGAGCUGGACCGGUGGGCGGCGGACUACCCGGACAGGCUCAAGGUGUGGUACGUGAUCGACCAGGUGAAGCGCCCGGAGGAAGGGUGGAAGUACAGCGUCGGGUUCGUGACGGAGGCCAUCGUGCGGGAUCACGUGCCGGAGGGCGGCGACGACACGCUCGCCCUCGCCUGCGGGCCGCCGCCGAUGAUCCAGUUCGCCAUCUCGCCGAACCUGGAGAAGAUGAAGUACGACAUGGCCAAUUCUUUCAUCGUCUUCUAAGACAGUAGCGGCCAACCAAUUAAUUUGGUACGUACAACGCACCACAUUUACUGUAUAUACAAAAACUAGCCGAAUUGCCAGCGUAAAUUACAUGAGAGAUGGGGUUGUGGGAAGAAGGAUUAUAAGUUGU